CCAAAAUUUUCUAAAACCUUCUAGGAUAUUACAGGACCUUCUAGGACAUUCUAAAACAUUCCGGAACCAUCUAGAACAUUUUCAAACACUCUAGAAAACUAUACAAACACCAUUAAAUCUAGCAUUCUAAAAUUUA